GAGAACAUGCCACAAACAUAUAUAAAUAUAAAAACACAAAAGUAGUAGUUAUGAUAACAUCUUCUGGAAAUCAUCAGUAAGUGCUACACCUGCGGUGCCACGAUUACAAUAUUAGCUUCCAAAUCUUCGUCUUCUGAACUCGGCUCCUCUUGUUGAAGAUAUGGCUCAUUGGCUUCCACACCUGUAACUUGUGGUUGAUGGCUUCCAGUGACUUUUGAUGAUGAUGAUGUCAUAAACCGGAAUGGUAGAUGUUGAUGCGUGAUCAACUAAGGUUAGAUCCUCCUUUC
rnacentral:lncRNA from 1 species